rnacentral:rRNA from 1 species
GUCCCGCCUGCCCUGUGGCCCCGUGUUUAACGGCCGCGGUAUUUUAACCGUGCUAAGGUAGCGUAAUCACUUGUCUUUUAAAUGAAGACCCGUAUGAAUGGCAUCACGAGGGCUUUACUGUCUCCUUUUUCCAGUCAAUGAAAUUGAUCUUCCCGUGCAGAAGCGGGAAUAAUCACAUAAGACGAGAAGACCCUGUGGAGCUUUAGAUGCUAGGACAGACCACGCCACAAAACCCUAUUUAAAGGACCAAGCUAGUCGGACCCUGCCCUAAUUUCUUCGGUUGGGGCGACCACGGAGCAACACAAAACCCCCGCGCGGAAUAAGAAUACUAUAACUUAAAAACAAGAGCAACAGCUCUAAUUAACAGAAACUCUGACCACAACAGAUCCGGCAACGCCGAUCAACGGACCAAGUUACCCCAGGGAUAACAGCGCAAUCCCCUUUUAGAGCCCAUAUCGACAGGGGGGUUUACGACCUCGAUGUUGGAUCAGGACAUCCCAAUGGUGCAACCGCUAUUAAGGG